rnacentral:rRNA from 1 species
CAUGGCUCAGAUUGAACGCUGGCGGCAGGCUUAACACAUGCAAGUCGAGCGGGGGAAGGUAGCUUGCUACCGGACCUAGCGGCGGACGGGUGAGUAAUGCUUAGGAAUCUGCCUAUUAGUGGGGGACAACAUCUCGAAAGGGAUGCUAAUACCGCAUACGUCCUACGGGAGAAAGCAGGGGAUCUUCGGACCUUGCGCUAAUAGAUGAGCCUAAGUCGGAUUAGCUAGUUGGUGGGGUAAAGGC